AGUUUACCUGGAGGAAACAAGAACAGAGCUGCAGCUGGGCUCCACUGCCAGCUCAGAGGGGUGGAAGAGGUUGAGUCACCCAUUGGAAAACACAAAGGCUGAAGCUUGCUGUGGGAGCAGGAGACUGAUGGGCAAGGACCAGCCAGCAAAUGCUUGAACUCUGUCCAUACCAUACGGCAAUUUGGUGUUGGCAGCCGGCAACUUGGUGAUAAAUUCAGAGCUACCUGUCUGCUCCAGAAGCUGAGUCUUGCUGUGUCAGGUGCUCUCUACUCAAGUGGGAAAGGACUUGUGUCUACAAGCGCCGGCUCUCAAAAACUGGUUUGAAAACAUCAAUUAAGCUUCCUGUUGUCUGUUUCCAAGAUCAGCGGGGGAGGAAACUGAGGCACAGGAACAGGGAAUUAAGAAAUGAGUCCUGUGUAUUUUGGAGUGUCAGCCUGACACAGGCAGUGCUGCAUCCUCAGGUAACGUGUCAGUGAUCCAGCUGCCAGGUGGUUCACGGGUGUGAAGUGCCCCAGUGGGUCAGUUGUGGUGGGGAUGGUGAAAGUCUCAUGGGACAGGUUCUGUUUCAUCCCCUGAGUGAAACAGCACUGUCUGCAUGAUGCACCUUCAUGUGGCUGUAGUGGGGCAUGGGGGAAUGUGAGAAGUGAUAACCAGUAAUUAAAAUUAACCAGGAAGUUUUUAAUA